UGGGGAAUAUUGCACAAUGGACGGAAGUCUGAUGCAGCAACGCCGCGUGCGGGAUGACGGCCUUCGGGUUGUAAACCGCUUUUUCUCAUGACGAAGUUUUUUGACGGUAGUGGGGGAAGAAGCACCGGCUAACUACGUGCCAGCAGCCGCGGUGAUACGUAGGGUGCGAGCGUUGUCCGGAAUUAUUGGGCGUAAAGAGCUUGUAGGCGGUUUGUCGCGUCGAUAGUGUAAACACGCAGCUUAACUGUGUGCCUGCUGUCGAUACGGGCUGACUAGAGGAGGGUAGGGGAGAAUGGAAUUCCCGGUGGAGCGGUGGAAUGCGCAGAUAUCGGGAGGAACACCAGUGGCGAAGGCGGUUCUCUGGACCUUUCCUGACGCUGAGAAGCGAAAGCGUGGGUAGCAAACAGG
rnacentral:rRNA from 1 species